CUACGGGCGGCACCAGUGAGGAAUAUUGCACAAUGGGGGAAACCCUGAUGCAGCAACGCCGCGUGGAGGAUGACGCAUUUCGGUGUGUAAACUCCUUUUAUGAGUCAAGAAAAUGACGGUAGCUCAUGAAUAAGCACCGGCUAACUCCGUGCCAGCAGCCGCGGUAAUACGGAGGGUGCAAGCGUUACUCGGAAUCACUGGGCGUAAAGGACGCGUAGGCGGGCUUGUAAGUCAGGUGUGAAAUCCUACAGCUUAACUGUAGAACUGCACUUGAAACUACGAGCCUAGAGUAUGGGAGGGGGAGAUGGAAUUAGUGGUGUAGGGGUAAAAUCCGUAGAUAUCACUAGGAAUACCGAAAGCGAAGGCGAUCUGCUGGAACAUUACUGACGCUAAGGCGUGAAAGCGUGGGGAGCAAACGGGAUUAGAUACCCUCGUAGUC
rnacentral:rRNA from 1 species